GGUUGUAGCUCAGUGGUAGAGCACUUGCCUAGCACGUGUGAGGCACUGGGUUUGAUCCCUAGCACCA
rnacentral:tRNA from 1 species